AUGAUGUUAAUGAUAUUUCCAAUGUUGAAUCUGUUGAUAAUAACUACGAUGUCAGAAGAUCAACCAACUACCGAUCCAACAGAAACCAAGCCAAUAUUAAUCGAUCAACCUCUCACCUUCGACAAACUAACUUAAACUCAAUCAACAACCAGUUCGAUACUCGAUCAAGCAUCGAUUCAAACAGCGUUGAUAAUAACCAAUACGAGGCAUCCCGAUCUUCCUUAUCAAAUGUUCAAUCAACCAACAACCAAAUUGGCAUUAAUCGAUCAGUUAAUUCUCAGUCCAACCUCAACUACAACAACCUCAACCAAUAUGGCGUUUCUCAGUCAUCCAACAUCAACUCAAUUGACAACAAACAAGUGGACAUUAA
rnacentral:lncRNA from 1 species